CAGUCGUACCUGCGGAUAAUCAGCCUUUAGGAUGCGAUUUUGUGGAGCGUGAGGAGCUAAUCGCCUUCAUGCCUAUAUAUUCGUGUACUUGGGGUGUACUUAUUCGUGAGGUAGGUUAACAUCAAUUUCGGACGUCAUAAAAUGAUUGGAGGAAUGUAGCUUUGAUCUCGUAUCGAAGUGUUAUAGCCUCUGGUAGAUGUGACGUAUUGGGGAUUGAGGUAUUGCAACGGA
rnacentral:rRNA from 1 species